rnacentral:rRNA from 1 species
UACGUAGGGUGCGAGCGUUGUCCGGAAUUAUUGGGCGUAAAGAGCUUGUAGGCGGUCUGUCGCGUCUGCUGUGAAAAUCCGGGGCUCAACCCCGGACUUGCAGUGGGUACGGGCAGACUAGAGUGUGGUAGGGGAGACUGGAAUUCCUGGUGUAGCGGUGAAAUGCGCAGAUAUCAGGAGGAACACCUGCGGCGAAGGCGGGUUGCUGGGCUGACACUGACGCUGAAGCGCGAAAGCUAGGGGAGCGAACGGG